rnacentral:rRNA from 1 species
UGGGGAAUUUUGGACAAUGGGCGAAAGCCUGAUCCAGCAAUGCCGCGUGUGUGAAGAAGGCCUUCGGGUUGUAAAGCACUUUUGUCCGGAAAGAAAUCCUUGGCUCUAAUACAGUCGGGGGAUGACGGUACCGGAAGAAUAAGCACCGGCUAACUACGUGCCAGCAGCCGCGGUAAUACGUAGGGUGCAAGCGUUAAUCGGAAUUACUGGGCGUAAAGCGUGCGCAGGCGGUUUGCUAAGACCGAUGUGAAAUCCCCGGGCUCAACCUGGGAACUGCAUUGGUGACUGGCAGGCUAGAGUAUGGCAGAGGGGGGUAGAAUUCCACGUGUAGCAGUGAAAUGCGUAGAGAUGUGGAGGAAUACCGAUGGCGAAGGCAGCCCCCUGGGCCAAUACUGACGCUCAUGCACGAAAGCGUGGGGAGCAAACAGGAUUAGAUACCCUGGUAGUCCACGCCCUAAACGAUGUCAACUAGUUGUUGGGGAUUCAUUUCCUUAGUAACGUAGCUAACGCGUGAAGUUGACCGCCUGGGGAGUACGGUCGCAAGAUUAAACUUAAUGAAUUGACGGGGUCAUAGCUGUUUUCU